UUUGGGCUGGUUCGGUUGGUUCGGUUUUUUAUAAUAUUUUUAUUGAGCCAUAUAUACUCCUAUAAAUAACGAUAUAACUUUGUGUUUAGUCAUUCAUACAUUACUAAAUAACAUCAAAAUUCAUCAUAUUUAGACAAAAACGUUUCAUUCAAUAUACAAAAAACCAGAUUAGAAAAAAGUGGAAUAAAAGACAAAUAUAAAUAGUAGCAUAAAAUAAUAUCAAAGACAUUAUAAUAAAACAUAAAAAAAACAUAUGAGAUGAGAGAUUAGAGAAGGUGAAAAAAAUAACAUAAGAGAUGCGAGAUUAAGAAGAAAAGUG
rnacentral:lncRNA from 1 species